UCUUUGUGAAAGACAUGGGUAGUGAGAUGUUCCAAUCUAAAAUCAAAUUCAUCUCACUACCUUGUCUUUGACGAAGCA
rfam:Sarcoptes scabiei Contig12342, whole genome shotgun sequence.